rnacentral:sRNA from 1 species
GUUUUGCGUUAGGGAUUGAAAUGGAAAUCCUUUUUGUGACAUAAGAGCAAAAAGAUUGUAGUGGAAAGCCCGACCUUUA